GACGAACGCUGGCGGCGUGCUUAACACAUGCAAGUCGAACGGAAAGGCCCUGCUUUUGUUGGGUGCUCGAGUGGCGAACGGGUGUGUAACACGUGAGUAACCUGCCCUUGACUUUGGGAUAACUUCAGGAAACUGGGGCUAAUACCGGAUAGGAGCUCCUGCUGCAUGGUGUGGGUUGGAAAGUUUCGGCGGUUGGGGAUGGACUCGCGGCUUAUCAGCUUGUUGGUGGGGUAGUGGCUUACCAAGGCUUUGACGGGUAGCCGGACUGGAAGGGUGACCGGCCACAGGGGGACUGAGGAAGGACCCGGACGCCUACGGGAGGAAGGGGUGGGAAAUAUUGGGCAAAGGGCGGAGGGCUGGAGGAGCAACGCCGGGUGGGGGAUGACGGUCUUCGGGGUGGAAACCGCGUUCGACUGUGACGAAGCGUGAGGGAGGGAAAUGGGUAAAGAAGCACCGGCAACCUACGU
rnacentral:rRNA from 1 species